GUCCAUGUUCCCCCCGUGGAGAUGGUUCCGUUGGUGGCACCCCAUCCCCACAGGCUGGCGUCUGAUUCCAGUACGAAGUCUGGAGCGUCUCCGAAUAUGGCCCUGCCGUUCCAGGCUUGCAUACUGUCCAGCCACCACGAUAGUUCCUCGCGGACCUCCGUCGUCACCGGGACGGGUUGGUCGUAAGUAGGCUUGCGGCGUAGGUAUUUCGCCUUGAGACGUUGCAUGGCCCUGUAGUGGAGGGGACCCGGAAAUAUGGCCUGAAUGGAGGCAGAGAGGAGUCCUACAAUCCUGGCUAGAUUGC